CCUACGGGAGGCAGCAGUGGGGAAUAUUGGACAAUGGGGGCAACCCUGAUCCAGCAAUGCCUUGUGUGUGAAGAAGGCCCUAGGGUUGUAAAGCACUUUAGUUGGGGAGGAAAGCCUCAAGGUUAAUAGCCUUUGGGGAGGACGUUACCCAAAGAAUAAGCACCGGCUAACUCCGUGCCAGCAGCCGCGGUAAUACGGGUGGUGCAUGCGUUAAUCGGAAUUACUGGGCGUAAAGGGUCUGUAGGUG
rnacentral:rRNA from 1 species